CUCUGUUCUCUGUUUACGCGGGGAGCCCUCCAGAAGCCGGCGAGGCACCGCGAGGGGCAGCCGCUGGUCAGUCCAGCCAGGCUGGCCUCCAGGUCAGCCAAGCAGGGCAGACGGGCUAGGUGACCUUGGGGAGCCCUGCAAAGUCCUCUGCUAGGCAAAGGUACGCCUGCCAUUCGAACCACCUGGCCAGCAGAGCCAUCUGCGGGGAACGGUUGGCCGCCGAGCCGGAGGACGGACCGCAGAGGCCAGCCCGUGCCCCGGCUUGUCAGGCUCUCAGACCUUCCGGAGACAGUUCAACCAGAGGCGAUUCCACUUCUUGGCGUGGCCGGGUUUCACAGGCGUCCAGCAAUGAGGUCAGCCAACAGCCCUGCAGCCCUUCGCCUGGCAGGCAGCCCAACACCUCUCCUCUCCUCUCCCACACUCCCAAGCACCCAGCUCGACCUCACCUACUCGAGCAAUGGAAGGGAUAGAGGAUACAGGAAACCCCACCAGAAAGGCCUCUACCUGCCACUGGGGAGAGAUCCGAACUCAGAGCAUGUUAGAACCUUGCUGUCAGGGGCUCACCGGCCCCCCGGAGUAGAUAGAAGGUCCCAGCUUGAGGGAGUGGAGGGGAAAUGCACACAAGAACACUGGAAAGGAAGGGAGUGGUUAGAGAGCUAGGCUAGCCGAUGGGAGAUCCUGGGCUCCAGUCUGGCUUUCCCAGCCGUGUGACCCUGGGCAAGUCCCUUCACCCCCACUGCCUAGCCCUGACUCCUCUUCUGCCUUGGAACCAAUGCACAAAAUCGAUUCCAGGAUGGACGGUGAGGGUUAAACACCCAAAGCAUUAGUCCAAACAAAGGGUUGGAGGGACUGGACUAGAGCACCCCUCCGGGCACGCUCUUGAGGGCUAACUCCUUGGGUUUUGUGACCUGAGUGGCCUCAGACACCGAGCUCUUGGGCACCCCCUUCAUGCUGGCCAGGUCUGUAGUCAUCGUUGGGUCGCUCCCAAGCGUCCUCGGCAUUCUCCGAUGCCUCCUGCCCAGCCUUGCCUGGCAUCGGGGGCUGCUCCAAUGAGUCCAGCCUUGGUGGCCAAAGUAUUUCCGCUGCAGCUUGGCCAUUGGACCUUCCCGGACUUCAUUUCUUGAGGUGUUCACCGAUCUGGGACUCGCCUCUCCCAGCAUGCAUUGCUGCAGGAAAGGCCGCAGUGCUGACCACGGGGACGUGCCUGCCUGGCCCAGAAUGGCUUCUCUUGGUUUCAUGGCUGUAAUCACCGCCUCCAGGGCUCUGGUAGCCCCAGAAUAGAAAAUCGGAGCCUCCCUCGGCCGGGAACGACGGACUCCUGACGUUAAGCUUCAAGCCAGCUUUUGGAGUCUGUUAUUUCAGGGCUGAUUUGUGGCCAUUUGGAAAGGGAGGCCACCCGGCCGGGGCCCCAGCAAGUCACGCCUCGUUUCCUUUGAUGCCAGGUCCGAGGCCAGCCCCAAGGAGGCUCUCUCUGGAGCCCAGCGCAAUUUAACAGGCUCCAUGGGAGGCUUGGGCGGAGGCAGUGAUGUCAAUCCAACAAUAGAUGUUUCUUAAGGGGCUCAGCUGCCAGGAGGUGCUUAGAGCAGGAAGUCCUGAGUUCAAAUUUGGCCUCAGACACGGGCUCUAUGACCCCAGUCAGUCACUUCUCUUCAGUCUGCCUCAGUUUCUUCAUCCACAGUACGGGUAUAAUAACAAUGCUCACCUUCCAGGAUCAUUGUGAGGCUCAAACAAAGUAAUAGUGUAAAGCACUUUAAAAAGAUGAAUAUUUCAUUUUUCCCCAGUUUCCCGAAAUUUGGAAAUUCAGUUUCCCUCCAUCCCUCUCCUCCCCCUCCCUGUAUAAAGCACUUUUUUUUUAAACCCUUAUAAUCUGUCUUAGAAUCAAUACUGUGUAUUGGCUCCAAGGCAGAAGAGUGGUAAGGGCUAGGCAAUGGGGGUCAAGUGACUUGCCCAGGGUCACACAGCUAGGAAGUGUCUGAGGCCAGAUUUGAGCUACCCAGCUGCCCCGAUAAGGCACUUUUAAGACAAAACCAGACCCACUUCUGUCAGUCCAUAAACAUUUAUUAGAUGCCUACUGUGUACUGUGUGCCAGCCCAUGAUGAGCUUACAUUCCAUCUGGAAAUAAGACUUAGAAACAAAGCCAAACAGAUACAAGGUAAUUUGGGAGUCACUUCCCCCUACUGGCCUCAGUUUCCUCAUCUGUAAAAUGAGUUGGAGAAGGAAAUGGCAAACCACCCCAGUCUCUCUGCCAAGAAAACCCCAAAUGGGAUCCCAAAGAAUCGGGUAGGACUGAAACAAGUGCACCCCAAUGAUUUGGGAGGGAGGGUUGGAGGGAAGAGCUCACGUAGAGGGAGCAAAGCCCUUAAAGGAGUUUUUGCCAUUCAGGUGAAGCUAGUUGUGCAAUGGAUAGAGUGUCAGGCUUGGAGUCAAGAGGACCCGAGUUCAAAUCCAGCCUCAGAUAACUGUGAACUUGGGUAGGUCACUUCAUUUGUUUGCCUCAGUUUCCCUACCUGUAAAAUGAGGAUAGUGAUAACACCUGCCUCCCAAGGCAGUUGUGAGGUUCAAAUGAGAUCAGAGUUGGGUGGAGUGCCACAUGCUGAGGCUACAAAAUGAGGCAAAAGGCAAUGCCUGCCCUCGAGGAGCUCAUGAUCUAAGGGAGGAGAAAGGAGCAAACUAAGGUGCGCAUGGCCCAAGCAAGCUUCACCCAGGGCUGCCAGGGGCGAAGGAAGAGCAGGGAAGGCCUGGGAUUAUAGAGGGCUGCCAGCAGAAAGGGGGACUUCGAGGUCGGGAGGCAGAGGGGGGGGGAUGGAGAGAACCCCCAGAGCUGGAGAAGGCGGGUCAGCGUCCCACUGGGUGGAAGACUAGGAAGGUGGCGGGGUGGGAGAGGGCUUGGAAUGCCAGACUUUAAAAGGAUUUUUGAAUCCUGGAGGCGAUGGGGAGCUGGUGGGAUUGAGUGAGGAUGUGAUGAUUUGAUCUCUAUUUUAAGAAAAUCCCUUUGGGGCAGCUGGGUGGCUCAGUGGAUAGAGAGCCAGGCCUAGAGAUGGGAGGUCCUGGGUUCAAAUCUGGCCUCAGACACUUCCCAGCUGUGUGACCCUGGGCAAGUCACUUAACUCCCAUUGCCUAGCCUUUACCACUCUUCUACCUUGGAGCCAAUACAUAGUAUUUCAAUUUAAUAUUCCAUCUUUUUUUAAACCCCUUUGGUGGCUCAAGUGGGGCGAGACCCCAGGCAGGCCGACUGCAGCAGGGUGGACAGAGAGAAGGGGGCACAGGCAGGGGAUGCUGCGCAGGGGAAGCUUGGAUGGGGGGAGGGAUAGGGAGGAAUCUAGGGGGACUCCUCACGUGCUUACAGCAAUGGGGAGAGGCUCCAUUUUGGAUCUGGUGACGUCCGCUGGAGAUUCGGGAUGCGAGAGGGCAGGGCGGGCUGGGUAGAGUCUGGGGGAGCACCCAGGACGGAGCCCUGAGGGUGGUGGAUCUGGGUGCCGAUCCAGCCAAGGACACGGAGGCGUUGAAUGAGGGGAGGGAUGCCCAGCAAGCCCACAGGGAGGAGAAUGGCCACUGGAUCCGGCGCUAAGAGUCAGUGGCAAAUCUGAGGGGGGGAGGACAAGGCGGAAGCCCCCACCGGAGCCGGGAUCCAAUGGGAUCUCUGAGAACAGCCUCAGUCUUAGCUGUAGAGAAGCAGCCCCGGCGGAGGCGGGAGGAAGCAGGAGACAGAAGGGCGCCGCACAGGAGCGGGUGCAGCUGGCCUUUGGGGUUUCCUCCCCAGGAGUUUGAUUGUCAAAUGAGAGAGAGAGAGAAUGGCGGGUUGAAGGGAGUCGGGAAGACCCACCACAAUCCGGCCGGCCUUCGCUGCGUAAUUUCCCUUUGUGGGUUGUAGCUGGAGAGACUCGGAGACAAGUGAAUUGAUAUGGGGAGGGCGCUCAGCCGAUAAGGCUUUCCUUUGAAAAGGAACCCCUGAGAAACAAGGAAACGCGGAAUUCCCAGAUAAGAAACAGAUCUGUGGCCAAGCCCCCCUGCUAGCCAAGAGUUGGACGGAUUGUCUUGGGAGGGAAUGAGCUCUCCAUCCUCGGUGCUCCCUCUG